UACGGAGGGUGCAAGCGUUAAUCGGAAUUACUGGGCGUAAAGCGUGCGCAGGCGGCUUGUUAAGUCUGUCGUGAAAUCCCCGGGCUCAACCUGGGAAUGGCGAUGGAUACUGGGCAGCUAGAGUGUGUCAGAGGAUGGUGGAAUUCCCGGUGUAGCGGUGAAAUGCGUAGAGAUCGGGAGGAACAUCAGUGGCGAAGGCGGCCAUCUGGGACAACACUGACGCUGAAGCACGAAAGCGUGGGGAGCAAACAGG
rnacentral:rRNA from 1 species